GAUGAACGCUGGCGGCGUGCCUAACACAUGCAAGUCGAGCGAAGCGCUUAAAUUAGAUUUCUUCGGAAUGACGAUUUUUGUGACUGAGCGGCGGACGGGUGAGUAACGCGUGGGUAACCUGCCUCAUACAGGGGGAUAACAGUUAGAAAUGACUGCUAAUACCGCAUAAGACCCCAGCUUCGCAUGAAGCGGUGGUAAAAACUCCGGUGGUAUGAGAUGGACCCGCGUCUGAUUAGCUAGUUGGUAAGGUAACGGCUUACCAAGGCGACGAUCAGUAGCCGACCUGAGAGGGUGACCGGCCACAUUGGGACUGAGACACGGCCCAGACUCCUACGGGAGGCAGCAGUGGGGAAUAUUGCACAAUGGGGGAAACCCUGAUGCAGCGACGCCGCGUGAAGGAUGAAGUAUUUCGGUAUGUAAACUUCUAUCAACAGGGAAGAAAGUGACGGUACCUGACGAAGAAGCCCCGGCUAACUACGUG
rnacentral:rRNA from 1 species